rnacentral:rRNA from 1 species
UACAGAGGUGGCAAGCGUUGUUCGGAAUUACUGGGCGUAAAGCGUGCGUAGGCGGUUCUCCAAGUCCGUUGUGAAAGCCCCGGGCUCAACCUGGGAAUGGCAGUGGAAACUAGGGGACUGGAAUCUGGCAGAGGGGGGUGGAAUGCCGCGUGUAGCAGUGAAAUGCGUAGAGAUGCGGCGGAACACCGAUGGCGAAGGCAGCCCCCUGGGCUGAGAUUGACGCUCAGGCACGAAAGCGUGGGGAGCAAACAGG